rnacentral:tRNA from 1 species
GGCUCUGUAGUGAAAUUCAUAGUGAGUUGCAAACUCAUUGAUGUGCGCUGAUCGCGUGCCAGAACCU